UGGAUUGGAGGCAGCAGUAGGGAAUCUUGCGCAAUGGGCGAAAGCCUGACGCAGCCAUGCCGCGUGAAUGAUGAAGGUCUUAGGAUUGUAAAAUUCUUUCAGCGGGGACGAUAAUGACGGUACCCGCAGAAGAAGCCCCGGCUAACUUCGUG
rnacentral:rRNA from 1 species